rnacentral:rRNA from 1 species
CCUACGGGAGACAGCAGUGGGGAAUAUUGCACAAUGGGGGAAACCCUGAUGCAGCGACGCCGCGUGAGUGAAGAAGGAUUUCGGUACGUAAAGCUCUAUCAGCAGGGAAGAAAAUGACGGUACCUGACUCAGAAGCCCCGGCUAACUACGUGCCAGCAGCCCCGGUAACACGUAGGGGGCAAGCGUUAUCCGGAUUUACUGGGGGUAAAGGGAGCGUAUAGGGGUGCGCAAGUCUGAAGUGAAAUCCCAUGGCUUAACCAUGGAACUGCAUUGGAAACUGGGCAGCUGGAGUGCAGGAGAGGUAAGCGGAAUUCGUGGUGUAGCGGUGAAAUGCGUAGAUAUUACGAGGAACACCGGUGGCGAAGGCAGCUUACUGAACUGUAACUGACGUUGAGGCUCGAAAGCGUGGGGAGCAAACAGGAUUAGAUACCCGUGUAGUC